UACGUAGGGUGCAAGCGUUAAUCGGAAUUACUGGGCGUAAAGCGUGCGCAGGCGGUUAUGCAAGACAGAUGUGAAAUCCCCGGGCUCAACCUGGGAACUGCAUUUGUGACUGCAUGGCUGGAGUGCGGCAGAGGGGGAUGGAAAUCCGCGUGUAGCAGUGAAAUGCGUAGAUAUGCGGAGGAACACCGAUGGCGAAGGCAAUCCCCUGGGCCUGCACUGACGCUCAUGCACGAAAGCGUGGGGAGCAAACAGG
rnacentral:rRNA from 1 species